CACGUACUUCCUCCGUCCCAAAAUUCUUGUCAUAUAUUUGUCUAUAUAUGAAUGUAUCUAGUCACGUUUAGUAUUUUGAUACAUUCAUUUCUAAACAAAACUAAGACAAGAAUUUUGAGACGGAGGGAGUAUUAU
rnacentral:pre_miRNA from 1 species